UACGGGGGGGGCAAGCGUUGUUCGGAAUUACUGGGCGUAAAGGGCUCGUAGGCGGCCAACUAAGUCAGACGUGAAAUCCCUCGGCUUAACCGGGGAACUGCAUCUGAUACUGGAUGGCUUGAGUUCGGGAGAGGGAUGCGGAAUUCCAGGUGUAGCGGUGAAAUGCGUAGAUAUCAGGAAGAACACCGGUGGCGAAAGCGCUCUGCUAGGCCGCAACUGACACUCAUGGACGAAAGCUAGGGGAGCGAACGGG
rnacentral:rRNA from 1 species